GGGUUGUGAGGUUAAGCGACUAAGCGUACACGGUGGAUGCCCUGGCAGUCAGAGGCGAUGAAGGGCGUGCUAAUCUGCGAUAAGCGCCGGUAAGGUGAUAUGAACCGUUAUAACCGGCGAUACCCGAAUGGGGAAACCCAGUGUGACUCGUCACACUAUCAUUAACUGAAUCCAUAGGUUAAUGAGGCGAACCGGGGGAACUGAAACAUCUAAGUACCCCGAGGAAAAGAAAUCAACCGAGAUUCCCCCAGUAGCGGCGAGCGAACGGGGAGGAGCCCAGAGCCUGAAUCAGCAUGUGUGUUAGUGGAAGCGUCUGGAAAGGCGCGCGAUACAGGGUGACAGCCCCGUACACAAAAGCGCAUGUGCUGUGAGCUCGAUGAGUAGGGCGGGACACGUGGUAUCCUGUCUGAAUAUGGGGGGACCAUCCUCCAAGGCUAAAUACUCCUGACUGACCGAUAGUGAACCAGUACCGUGAGGGAAAGGCGAAAAGAACCCCGGCGAGGGGAGUGAAAAAGAACCUGAAACCGUGUACGUACAAGCAGUGGGAGCNNNNNNNNNNNNNNNNNNNNNNNGGGCGUUAAGUUGCAGGGUAUAGACCCGAAACCCGGUGAUCUAGCCAUGGGCAGGUUGAAGGUUGGGUAACACUAACUGGAGGACCGAACCGACUAAUGUUGAAAAAUUAGCGGAUGACCUGUGGCUGGGGGUGAAAGGCCAAUCAAACCGGGAGAUAGCUGGUUCUCCCCGAAAGCUAUUUAGGUAGCGCCUCGUGAAUUCAUCUCCGGGGGUAGAGCACUGUUUCGGCUAGGGGGCCAUCCCGGCUUACCAACCCGAUGCAAACUGCGAAUACCGGAGAAUGUUAUCACGGGAGACACACGGCGGGUGCUAACGUCCGUCGUGAAGAGGGAAACAACCCAGACCGCCAGCUAAGGUCCCAAAGUCAUGGUUAAGUGGGAAACGAUGUGGGAAGGCCCAGACAGCCAGGAUGUUGGCUUAGAAGCAGCCAUCAUUUAAAGAAAGCGUAAUAGCUCACUGGUCGAGUCGGCCUGCGCGGAAGAUGUAACGGGGCUAAACCAUGCACCGAAGCUGCGGCAGCGANNUGCUGGAGGUAUCAGAAGUGCGAAUGCUGACAUAAGUAACGAUAAAGCGGGUGAAAAGCCCGCUCGCCGGAAGACCAAGGGUUCCUGUCCAACGUUAAUCGGGGCAGGGUGAGUCGACCCCUAAGGCGAGGCCGAAAGGCGUAGUCGAUGGGAAACGGGUUAAUAUUCCCGUACUUGGUGUUACUGCGAAGGGGGGACGGAGAAGGCUAUGUUGGCCGGGCGACGGUUGUCCCGGUUUAAGCGUGUAGGUGUGUGUUCCAGGUAAAUCCGGUUCACUUUAACACUGAGGCGUGACGACGAGGCACUACGGUGCUGAAGCAACAAAUGCCCUGCUUCCAGGAAAAGCCUCUAAGCAUCAGGUAACAUCAAAUCGUACCCCAAACCGACACAGGUGGUCAGGUAGAGAAUACCAAGGCGCUUGAGAGAACUCGGGUGAAGGAACUAGGCAAAAUGGUGCCGUAACUUCGGGAGAAGGCACGCUGACACGUAGGUGAAGUGAUUUACUCAUGGAGCUGAAGUCAGUCGAAGAUACCAGCUGGCUGCAACUGUUUAUUAAAAACACAGCACUGUGCAAACACGAAAGUGGACGUAUACGGUGUGACGCCUGCCCGGUGCCGGAAGGUUAAUUGAUGGGGUCAGCGCAAGCGAAGCUCCUGAUCGAAGCCCCGGUAAACGGCGGCCGUAACUAUAACGGUCCUAAGGUAGCGAAAUUCCUUGUCGGGUAAGUUCCGACCUGCACGAAUGGCGUAAUGAUGGCCAGGCUGUCUCCACCCGAGACUCAGUGAAAUUGAACUCGCUGUGAAGAUGCAGUGUACCCGCGGCAAGACGGAAAGACCCCGUGAACCUUUACUAUAGCUUGACACUGAACAUUGAGCCUUGAUGUGUAGGAUAGGUGGGAGGCUUUGAAGUGUGGACGCCAGUCUGCAUGGAGCCGACCUUGAAAUACCACCCUUUAAUGUUUGAUGUUCUAACGUGGACCCGUUACCCGGGUUGCGGACAGUGUCUGGUGGGUAGUUUGACUGGGGCGGUCUCCUCCUAAAGAGUAACGGAGGAGCACGAAGGUUGGCUAAUCCUGGUCGGACAUCAGGAGGUUAGUGCAAUGGCAUAAGCCAGCUUGACUGCGAGCGUGACGGCGCGAGCAGGUGCGAAAGCAGGUCAUAGUGAUCCGGUGGUUCUGAAUGGAAGGGCCAUCGCUCAACGGAUAAAAGGUACUCCGGGGAUAACAGGCUGAUACCGCCCAAGAGUUCAUAUCGACGGCGGUGUUUGGCACCUCGAUGUCGGCUCAUCACAUCCUGGGGCUGAAGUAGGUCCCAAGGGUAUGGCUGUUCGCCAUUUAAAGUGGUACGCGAGCUGGGUUUAGAACGUCGUGAGACAGUUCGGUCCCUAUCUGCCGUGGGCGCUGGAGAACUGAGGGGGGCUGCUCCUAGUACGAGAGGACCGGAGUGGACGCAUCACUGGUGUUCGGGUUGUCAUGCCAAUGGCACUGCCCGGUAGCUAAAUGCGGAAGAGAUAAGUGCUGAAAGCAUCUAAGCACGAAACUUGCCCCGAGAUGAGUUCUCCCUGAGACUUA
rnacentral:rRNA from 2 species